AAAAGGGGAACAAGAAGGAAGGCUCACUUCCAUUUCUUCAGAGGAGUUCCAGUCUUCGCCUUCACUUUGGACCCAUCUCCUGCCUUCCAACACAGACUCUUCAGCUUCAGGGACUCACAUGGGACUACAUGAGCUCCAGGCCUUGUAUGUUUGAUUGGAUCCUUCAGAUUUCCAGCAUACAGACAGCCCUUUCGCACUCUGCAGGUGGCCAUGCAGGGAUCUGACAAUUAUAAACAUGCAGCUGUGACAACUCAGACCCUCAAGCAGAGCAGUGGGAAUGGAUCUGGGCUCUGCAGGAGUGGAGUGGACCUCCUGCAAACUUCCCAUCUCUCAGGUGCUUGCUGAGGUGAAGGAAGUUUGCCCUGGAAUGAAGGAAGUGAAGGAAACCAGAGCUGGGAGAUGGAGAGAGAGAAUCCUGAAGUUAUUAUUUGAACCACUGAGUCUAGCUGUGCUUGGAACUCUUCAAUGAGCUACUACAUUCCUUUGUUGCUUAAACCAAUUUGAGUUAUGUUUAAGAUACUUGCAAUUGAAAGGAAUCAUUAAGUAAUAAAACUGCCAUUUGU